rnacentral:rRNA from 1 species
AUGCGGAGGGUGCGAGCGUUGUUCGGAAUUACUGGGCGUAAAGAGCUUGUAGGCGGCCUGUUAAGUCUGAUGUGAAAACCCUCGGCUCAACCGAGGAAGUGCAUCGGAUACUGGCAGGCUUGAGUAUGGGAGAGGAGAGCGGAAUUCCCGGUGUAGAGGUGAAAUUCGUAGAUAUCGGGAGGAACACCAGUGGCGAAGGCGGCUUCCUGGACUAAUACUGACACUGAGGUACGAAAGCGUGGGGAGCAAACAGGAUUAGAUACCCCAGUAGUCC